UACGAAGGGUGCAAACGUUGCUCGGAAUUAUUGGGCGUAAAGCGCACGUAGGCGGUUUGUUAAGUCGGAUGUGAAAUCCCUCGGCUCAACUGAGGAAGUGCAUCCGAAAACUGGCAGGCUUGAGUACUAAAGAGGGUCGCGGAAUUCCCGGUGUAGAGGUGAAAUUCGUAGAUAUCGGGAGGAACACCGGUGGCGAAGGCGGCGACCUGGGUAGAUACUGACGCUGAGGUGCGAAAAGCGUGGGGAGCAAACAGG
rnacentral:rRNA from 1 species